UGAAGAUGAGAAACACACAGCAUGAGCUUA
rnacentral:piRNA from 1 species